GGGAGUUUGGUCUAGUGGUAUGAUUCUCCGCUUCGGGUGCGAGAGGCCGCGAGUUUUCGUGAUUCUCGCAACUCCCC
rnacentral:tRNA from 1 species